UGUAAUUUUCAGUCAUUUUGUAUUACGCACAGAAGUGGUAACCAUUUCCCGUUUGUAAUCUAAAAUGACUGAAAACUGCAAAUUUCGCAAGCCUAUAUUAUCCGCAUUUUACAACAUUUUGCAAUGAACUUUGGAAUAUUAUUAAUUUUGUGAUGCUCUUUCAAGCUGUGAUGAAAUUUUUGUCCAGACUUGUUGAGUUCAAAAUUUUGGUUAAUUGGGGAAUGGUCCAUUGUCAACAGUCGAAUACAUGAUAGUGUUGGGAAAGCAUUAAUUAAGAACAGCUAACUAAGGUUGCGCGUGACUGCCAACUCUCAUACGGAAGAGGUUAUUUGGCUGGCCUCAGAGUUACAAAACGUAUAUAAUAAAGCAACGGUUUUACUAAUACUAAUUCUAUUCCAAAUACUAACCCUAACCCUAACCCUAACCCUACACCAAAGUUUGUUUCUAAAUCAAUCUUGAAGAAAAACUUUUUGACGAAAUAUCAUUCUGAGGUCAGCGAACUAAUCUUUCCCGGCCUCUCAUGCACUCUCAUCCUCGUUUCAUCCGGGCUUUACAACCCAGCAAUUGUAUAUAUAGUAAUUCAUAAAUAGUAGUAGCUACAUUGAGUUGUAGUUGUUUUAGUCUUCUUAUAAUGGUAGUACGUUGAGUUGUAGUUAUUUUAGUCUUCUUAUUCUAUUUCACUGUAUUAUUAACAAGUACAAUACCGCACGAGCGAAAUAAAAUCGUAUAUGGUGCCUGCCAUAGCACAAGAGAUAGUGAACAACCGAAAUUUUAAAUUGUUUUUGUUUCCUUAGUUUUUACUGUAAUGAUCAAUGAACAUGUAAUGUAAUCUGUAGUAAAUGAUAAUAAUGUUAACUGUAGUUUAGAAAUGGAUCUUUAAUAUUGAUCAUCUAUGAUUAUGAUCAGCAAUAAUUACAUGUAAACUCGAUUGAGAUUAGUACAUAUCAAUAUAGUAGAAUUAACAAGUGGC
rnacentral:lncRNA from 1 species